rnacentral:rRNA from 1 species
GACGAACGCUGGCGGCGUGCUUAACACAUGCAAGUCGAACGAUGAAGCCUUAGCUUGCUUUGGUGGAUUAGUGGCGAACGGGUGAGUAACACGUGAGCAACGUGCCCAGGACUCUGGAAUAACCGCGGGAAACCGUGGCUAAUACCGGAUAGGUGCCGAGGCCGCAUGGUCUUCGGUUGGAAAGUUUUUCGGUUCUGGAUCGGCUCACGGCCUAUCAGCUUGUUGGUGGGGUAAUGGCCUACCAAGGCGACGACGGGUAGCCGGCCUGAGAGGGUGACCGGCCACACUGGGACUGAGACACGGCCCAGACUCCUACGGGAGGCAGCAGUGGGGAAUAUUGCACAAUGGGCGCAAGCCUGAUGCAGCAACGCCGCGUGGGGGAUGACGGCCUUCGGGUUGUAAACCUCUUUUAGUAGGGAAGAAGCGCAAGUGACGGUACCUGCAGAAAAAGCACCGGCUAACUACGUG